ensembl:rRNA 5S_rRNA 5S ribosomal RNA
GAUUGUGGCCAUACCACACUGACAACGCCCGAUCUCAUCUGAUCUCGGAAGCUAAGCAGAGAUGGGCUGGGUCAGUACUUGGAUGGGUGACCGCCUGGGAAUACCCGUUGCUGUAAGCA